UCUUCUGUGCUCUGGGGAAUCUUCUGUUGAAAUAAAGAGAGCUUAGCAAAUGCCACAGAGCAAUCGAGCAAGAAAUGAGGAUGACGGUUUCUGCUGUACUUCUUUUGUAUGAGUAUUAAACCACCAAAGCCAAAGGGAGAGAAAGACUGAAAAAACACAUGCUUCUUGUAGCUGCAAACACCCCAAAUCUUAAACUGCCCCUGUGUUCAUGUACCAAAGUUUCAUGCUUUCAGGUUGUGCUCUGUAUCUUUUUCUCUCAAACAAGCACAAGUGCAGUUCUAAUACAACUGGAGAAGUUGGGCUGAUUCUCAGAUGUUUCUCACCAGAUCAUUUGAGAUUUUCCUGCCUCUUCAGGGCAAAAAUGAGCCUCCAGUGAGGGUCUUCAGCUUGACAAAAAAUUUGAAUCCCUCCUCUCACUCCUCUGCACUUCUGCAGCUCCUUGGUUUGUUUGCUUUGGGCAUGCUAUGCCUCCUCUUUGCUCUAUAAAUCUGAUGCCACAAGCCAAGGAUCAUGAAAAAAGUAUGGAUUGUACAAGGGAUAUGAUCCUGGUGUGAUGGGUAGAGGAGGGAACUGAAGCCUUGAAGCUGUUUGUUCUGUUUAGUAAAUCCACCUUUCUAGAAUACAUAUUCUGGAGAUUUGCUUGUUGUACAUGUUGAUAAAAUGUCUAAUCAUAGAAUAAAUAGGCUUGGGAGGAACUAUAGGGUCUAGUUCAACCCAUGCUUAAAGUGGCACCUGUUGGUGUACUUGUUCAUGAAUGCUGGUUCAUUUCUACUUGUUUAUUUACAGAUUCCUUCAGGGAAUGCAGGUGACUGAUAUUUCCAAGAGAACACAAUGGUCUCUCUUCAGUUGUUGUGUGGGGACUGGAGGCGUUUCCAAACAAAUGUCUUAUGGAUUGAUCUGUCAUUUGUCUUUUAUACUUUUUAGUGAUGUACAAGUUUUGUAUGCCUUCAGGAUUUAGGGAUAUCCCUGUGGCUGCAGUUUUGUUCUCACCCAGUAUUCCACAUCCCUCCUGAGCUGAAGCUCUUGCACUUAUUGCACCGUCUGUCUUCGUUUCACUGCUCUGUACUACUCUGAUGGGAUGCAUAGAGCUCUGCUAAACUGUGCUAAAGAUCCAUCUGUGGAAGUUUAUCUGCUAUUUUGCUUGUUAAGCAUCCAAGAGGGAGGUAACAGAAAUAUUAAAGGUUUCCACCAUGCUGUUUGUAAAGCCAGCUUUUUUCAUGCCACGGCGUUGUUUUCAUCAUUUGUGCAAAGAAGAGGCUCAACAGUACUUUUUAGGAUCACAGCUAGUUCAGAAGGGCUUGCCUGCAUUUGCUGCCUUCUCUUGCUGCUCUGUUGCCCUGUGUCAGAGCCAAAUGAUGAAGCAAAGCCAUCAGCUCUCCGAGUCAGGCACACAGUUGGAUGAGAAGCCUCUCCUUGCAAAGGGGUGCUGGCUCGGUCAGUGGUCACUGCAGCAGGAGCUUUGUGCUUGGAGUGCAGCUGCUGCUGCUGGCAGGGCUGGAUGCUGCCUCUCUGGAUGCCCCACAUUUGGGGGUUUGUUACUCGCUGCACAGUGACUUUCACAGACGUCAGUGUUUGUUACCUGCUGGGGAGAAAUUCAACCUCUGCCUGUUGGCUGGUGUACAGAGUGUUCCCUCUCUUUAAUGUCACAUCCCUUCCAGCCCACGCUGGCUCUGAGGCCCCAAGGCCCAGCUGGGGUGCUCAGUCACAUGUUCCCAUAUCUGUGGAAACACAGGGCACUGGGAAUAUUUCUCUGUCUGCUCUGGGGUGCCCUGACCCCCAGGGGAACACUGACUUUGACUCUCAUUCAUGGAGAAAGUUUCCCAGGCUUCAAGAUAGACUGGAAUCCACUAAAGUGUGAAAUAGAUUAUAGAGAGUAGUGUAGGUGUAUCACUGGGUGAGAAAUUGAGGUUUUGGGAUUUUCAGUAUGUUGUGGAUGGAAGCAAGAUGGAGGGCACAGAGUGUUGCCCUGGGUUUCUUCUUCAUGCUUCUUCCUUCUCUAUGGGUUUGGGUGGCAUUUUGUAAUUGGGCAGAAAAUUCUGCAUUGCAGCUCUUUGGGAUCAGUUAUUGGGUUAAAAGGCAAAAUAAACUAGGCAUCCUUUCUUAAUUGGAUAAUUUAGUCUUAAAAGACCUUUUAACAAGAGAUUGUUGCCAUUUUGUGCCUUCUAAUGAAAAGCUGCCAAACUCACAGUAGUGAAACUGUUUUACU